rnacentral:rRNA from 1 species
GAUAAACGCUAGCGACAGGCCUAACACAUGCAAGUCGAGGGGCAGCACAUGAGUAGCAAUACGAUGGUGGCGACCGGCGCACGGGUGAGUAACACGUAUGCAACCUACCCAUAAGAGGGGAAUAACCCGGAGAAAUUCGGACUAACACCGCAUAAUACUGAAUAUUCGCAUGGAUUUUCAGUUAAAUAUUAAUAGCUUAUGGAUGGGCAUGCGUAUGAUUAGAUAGUUGGUAGGGUAACGGCCUACCAAGUCAACGAUCAUUAGGGGUUCUGAGAGGAAGGUCCCCCACAUUGGAACUGAGACACGGUCCAAAACUCCUACGGGAGGCAGCAGUGAGGAAUAUUGGUCAAUGGGCGAGAGCCUGAACCAGCCAUGUCGCGUGAAGGAAGAAUGUCCUAUGGAUUGUAAACUUCUUUUAUGCAGGAAUAAAGUGUACUACGUGUAGUAUUUUUGUAUGUACUGUAUGAAUAAGGAUCGGCUAACUCCGUGCC